rnacentral:rRNA from 1 species
GGUUCGACUGCUCAGAUUGAACGCUGGCGGAUGCUUUUACACAUGCAAGUCGAACGGCAGCACGGACUUCGGUCUGGUGGCGAGUGGCGAACGGGUGAGUAAUGUAUCGGAACGCCUUAGUAGUGGAUAACUACGCGAAAGGUAGCCAAUACCGCAUACACGCCCUUCGGGGGAGGACCCUUCGGGCCUCGUAAUUAUUAGAGUGGCCGAUAUCGGGAUUUAGUUAGCUGGUGGGUAACGGCUCACCAAGGUGACGAUCCGUAGCUGGUUUGAGAGGACGACCAGCCACACUGGGACUGAGACACGGCCCAGACUUACGGGAGGCAGCAGUGGGGAAUUUUGGACAAUGGGGAAACCCCCGAUCCAGCCAUCCCGCGUGUGCGAUGGAAGGCCUUCGGGUUGUACACUUUUGGCAGGAUAAAGAAACGGCACGGGAUAAUACCCCGCAAAUCUGACGGUACCUGCAGAAUAAGCAGACCAUAACCACGCCAGCAGCCGCGGCAGCCUACGUAGGGUGCAAGCGUUAAUCGGAAUUACUGGGCGUAAAGCGUGCGCAGGCGGUUCGGAAAGAAAGAUGUGAAACUCGGGAGUUUAACUUUGGAACUGCAUUUUUAACUACCGAGCUAGAGGUCAGAGGGAGGUGGAAUUCCGCGUGUAGCAGUGAAAUGCGUAGAUAUGUGAUAGAACACCGGAUGGCGAAGGCAGCCUCCUGGGAUAACACUGACGCCUGGUGACGAAAGCGUGGGGCAAACAGGAUUAGAUACCUCUGGUAGUCCACGCCCUAAACGAUGUCAACUAGCUGUUGGGGCCUUCGGGCCUUGGUAGCGCAGCUAACGCGAAGUUGACCGCCUGGGGAGUACGGUCGCAAGAUUAAAACUCAAAGGAAUUGACGGGGACUCCGCACAAGCGGUGGAUGAUGUGGAUUAAUCUGAUGCAACGCGAAACCUUACCUACCCGAUGUCUGGAAUCCCGGAAGAGAUUUGGGAGCGCUCGCAAGAGAACCGGAACACAGGUGCCGCAUGGCUGUCGUCACUGGUGUCGAGAUGCUGGGUUAUCCCGCAACGAGCGCAACCCUUGUCACGGCGCGCCAGUUGGGCACUCUAUCGAGAUCGCUGGUGACAAACCGGAGGAAGGUGGGGAUGACGUCAAGUCCUCAUGGCCCCCAUGGGUAGGGCUUCACACGUCACACAAUGGUCGGGACAGAGGGUCGCCAACCCGCGAGGGGGAGCCAAUCCCAGAAACCCGAUCGUAGUCCGGAUCGCAGUCUGCAACUCGACUGCGUGGAAGUCGGAAUCGCCAGUAAUCGCGGAUCAGUACGCCGCGGUGAAUACGUCUCCCGGGUCUUGUACACACCGCCCGUCACACCGGAGUGGGUUUUACCAGAAGUAGUUAAGCCUAACCGUAAGGAGGGCGAUUACCACUGUAGUAGAUUCCAUGACUGGUGAAGUUUUAACACAGCCGAAAGCUACCUUGAUGCUCC